CACCGCGGUUAUACGAGAGGCCCAAGUUGAUAAGCAUCGGCGUAAAGAGUGGUUAUGGAUACUACAAAACUAAAGCCAAAUGCCUCCAAGGCUGUUAUACGCACCCGAAGGCCAGAAGCUCAACCACGAAAGUGGCUUUAUGUUGCCUGAAUCCACGAAAGCUAUGGUA
rnacentral:rRNA from 1 species